UAGUCCACGCCGUAAACGAUGAGAACUAGUUGUAGUGGGUGUUAACCCCCGCUGUGAUGAAGCUAACGCAUUAAGUUCUCCGCCUGGGGAGUACGGUCGCAAGACUAAAAACUCAAAGGAAUUGACGGGGGCCCGCACAAGCGGUGGAUUAUGUGGUUUAAUUCGAAGCAACGCGCAGAACCUCACCUGGGUUUGAAAUCCUGAGAAUCCCUUAGAGAUAAGGGAGUGCCCUUCGGGGAAUUCAGUGACAGGCGCUGCAUGGCUGUCGUCAGCUCGUGUUGUGAAAUGUUGGGUUAAGUCUCGCAACGAGCGCAACCCCUAUUGUUAGUUGCCAGCAUUAAGUUGGGCACUCUAAUGAGACUGCCGGGGUUAACCCGGAGGAAGGUGGGGAUGACGUCAAGUCCUCAUGGCCCUUAUACCCAGGGCUACACACGUAAUACAAUGGUAGAUACAGAGGGAAGCUAACCUGCGAGGGGGCGCGUAAUCUCAAAAGUCUAUCUCAGUCCGGAUUGGAGUCUGCAACUCGA
rnacentral:rRNA from 1 species